UUUGCGAGUCGCACCAAAGUCACGGUGAUUGGUUGAAUUUGCGUGAAUUGGCGCAAUCGCGAAAUCUUGGACGAACUGACUAACAAUGUGGGCU